AUGUCGUGGCCAGAUCCGGCAGGAAUUCCCUCCCUCCCAUCAGCUCCACCGGCGAGCCCUUCCUCACCGCAUCCAUGGCCUCCUUGUGCCCUUCCUCACCGCAUCGCCACCCAGACCCCUCCCUUCCCUCACCGCAUCGCCACCCAGACCCCUCUCCUCCUCCCCUCCCCGGCCCCAACCUUCCCGCCCUGCCGCCUCACCUGCACCCAUCGCCUCCUCCUCUCCCCUCCCCCGCACGCCGGCCGCCCGCGCCUCCGCGACCCGCCGCCGGCACCGAUGGAGGCGGUGGACCCCGACUUCUACCGAAUCGGGUACGCCUGGAUGAUGCGCGCCUAUGGGGUCGAGUUCCUUGAGGGCCCCAACGGCAUGGGCGUCUACGCCUCCCGGGACAUCGACCCGCUCCGCCGAGCCAGGGUGAGCUGCUGA
rnacentral:rRNA from 1 species